rnacentral:rRNA from 1 species
GUCGAGUCGGCCUGCGCGGAAGAUGUAACGGGGCUAAGCAAUACACCGAAGCUGCGGCAAUAUCUUUUAGAUAUUGGGUAGGGGAGCGUUCUGUAAGCCGUUGAAGGUGAAUCGUAAGGUUUGCUGGAGGUAUCAGAAGUGCGAAUGCUGACAUGAGUAACGACAAAGGGGGUGAAAAACCUCCUCGCCGGAAGACCAAGGGUUCCUGUCCAACGUUAAUCGGGGCAGGGUGAGUCGACCCCUAAGGUGAGGCCGAAAGGCGUAAUCGAUGGGAAACGGGUUAAUAUUCCCGUACUUCUGACUAUUGCGAUGGGGGGACGGAGAAGGCUAGGUGGGCCAGGCGACGGUUGUCCUGGUUCAAGUGCGUAGGCUUGAGAGUUAGGUAAAUCCGGCUCUCUCUAAGGCUGAGACACGACGUCGAGCUACUACGGUAGUGAAGUCAUUGAUGCCAUGCUUCCAGGAAAAGCCUCUAAGCUUCAGAUAGUCAGGAAUCGUACCCAAACCGACACAGGUGGUCGGGUAGAGAAUACCAAGGCGCUUGAGAGAACUCGGGUGAAGGAACUAGGCAAAAUGGUACCGUAACUUCGGGAGAAGGUACGCUCUUGAUGGUGAAGUCCCUCGCGGAUGGAGCUGACGAGAGUCGCAGAUACCAGGUGGCUGCAACUGUUUAUUAAAAACACAGCACUGUGCAAAAUCGCAAGAUGACGUAUACGGUGUGACGCCUGCCCGGUGCCGGAAGGUUAAUUGAUGGGGUUAGCGCAAGCGAAGCUCUUGAUCGAAGCCCCGGUAAACGGCGGCCGUAACUAUAACGGUCCUAAGGUAGCGAAAUUCCUUGUCGGGUAAGUUCCGACCUGCACGAAUGGCGUAAUGAUGGCCACGCUGUCUCCACCCGAGACUCAGUGAAAUUGAAAUCGCUGUGAAGAUGCAGUGUACCCGCGGCUAGACGGAAAGACCCCGUGAACCUUUACUACAGCUUGGCACUGAACAUUGAACCUACAUGUGUAGGAUAGGUGGGAGGCUAUGAAGACGUGACGCCAGUUGCGUUGGAGCCGUCCUUGAAAUACCACCCUUGUAUGUUUGAUGUUCUAACUUAGACCCAUUAUCUGGGUUGAGGACAGUGCCUGGUGGGUAGUUUGACUGGGGCGGUCUCCUCCCAAAGAGUAACGGAGGAGCACGAAGGUGGGCUAAUCACGGUUGGACAUCGUGAGGUUAGUGCAAUGGCAUAAGCCCGCUUAACUGCGAGAAUGACGGUUCGAGCAGGUGCGAAAGCAGGUCAUAGUGAUCCGGUGGUUCUGUAUGGAAGGGCCAUCGCUCAACGGAUAAAAGGUACUCCGGGGAUAACAGGCUGAUACCGCCCAAGAGUUCAUAUCGACGGCGGUGUUUGGCACCUCGAUGUCGGCUCAUCACAUCCUGGGGCUGAAGUCGGUCCCAAGGGUAUGGCUGUUCGCCAUUUAAAGUGGUACGCGAGCUGGGUUUAGAACGUCGUGAGACAGUUCGGUCCCUAUCUGCCGUGGGCGUUGGAAGAUUGAAGGGGGCUGCUCCUAGUACGAGAGGACCGGAGUGGACGAACCUCUGGUGUUCGGGUUGUGUCGCCAGACGCAUUGCCCGGUAGCUAAGUUCGGAAUUGAUAAGCGCUGAAAGCAUCUAAGCGCGAAGCGAGCCCUGAGAUGAGUCUUCCCUGACAGUUUAACUGUCCUAAAGGGUUGUUCGAGACUAGAACGUUGAUAGGCAGGGUGUGUAAGCGUUGUGAGGCGUUGAGCUAACCUGUACUAAUUGCCCGUGAGGCUUAACCAU